GAUACGCAAAGAAGUGAAGAGUUCAGCGAGUUCAGUUAAUGAGAAAUAUGUAAAUGCAUCAAUAACAAAGGAAUGAUGACGUCACAAGCUGUGCUGCCCAGGACACUGCCUGAUAGCAGACGGGACAAGCUGGGGAAGCAUGGAUUUAUUUGAAAUGAUGCCAUCUGUGUGCAAUAGCGUGUCCCUGAUUAACAUCGAAACAUUCUUGCACAAGAAACAGGACCAUGUGAAGUUUGUCACCGUAACGACUGACACGUUUUACUAACUUCCUCUUUCAUGGUAAGGAGCUUGAGGACCUGCAGGAACCUUCUGAACUUUAAGAAUUUGCAAGUGUUCUGUUAAAACUGUGCUGCUAAUUUCAGUAAUUUCCCUAGGGCUUAUUUGAAUGUCUUUCUCUUCGUUGCCGUCAACCAAAUGACUGCAGGCAAAGUGCGACUUGGGUAAUGAUGUCAAACAUGACUUGUGAGUCAUAAAACCACAAAAAUCAGUCAGGCAAGCGGGAUCUACCAAGUCUAGUACGUCUGUUAAGACUCUCUGAGGAAGUCUUAUGAAUGACAAAGAAAUCCAAAACACAGGCAGUGGACGAACAGCCUUUGGAUGUGUAUAAUGAUUAGCGGGGACUAUAACUGCAACUACCUGGGACGGAUGCCAAAUGCUGACAAAGGCGAUCAUUGCAUUCUCAGGAGUGAACAGAAUCAAGUCUUCGUUCUCUCGCACUUGUUUGGCUGAGGUUAUUUAUAUUUUUGGGGAAACUACAGAAGACUUUGACUCAUAGCAGAAGAGCUUAUUCACAAUCUUGGGCUAAAGGGAACAAAAAAUCAUUUUCUGUCUUUCUCUUAGCAUCCUGUGCCAAAGUGGGCAGGGAGAAAGAGCUUGUGGUGAGGCGGGUGAAGAGGAGGCCGCUCUACGUGCUCUUUCUUCAGCCACAACCCCGUGGAAGAGCAUGUUUAGUGGCAGCACGUUUCUGGGUUUCUCUCCCUCAGUUAGCCGUACUAUGUGCACGAAUGCGAGUCUGCUCUCCAUGUCGCCAUGACCCCUGCGUGCCUUCUUAUAGCCUUAAGCAUCGACCCUCUAGCUUACAGGUAUUCUAGCAGUCGGCUGUCUGGUUGGUUAAAGUCUGCUGGUUAACUGUCUGCUGUUCUUGGGGCUGAGGUAGUAGAUUGAAUAGUUGUGGAGCCCUGUGCUCUGUCACUGAGAUAACUAUACAAUCUACUGUCUUUCCUAAGGUGACAGCCAAAUCAUCCACAAACACCACCGAGUGUCAAUGCUGUCCCCAAUUCCUGCUAGGGAACCUGAACCUACAGCAACAUUCUGGGCUUCUCCAUAUUUGUUUUUUGGUGUGAUUUUAAAUUUAACAUGAAAUGCAAAUGAAUACACUCUAUAGAGGGCCGCAGGGGAUGACCUGAUGAUCGUAGGCCAACCGAAUUAUCACAAAAAACAAGCUCUGUGUUUAACAAAAGUUUAAGAUACACGUUUUGUCAAACAAGAUAAUCUUCACAUUUUAUGAAUUUAUGAAAAUAUGAAUUAGUUUUUUAUUCCUAGUAAACACAUUUAGACUUAUGCAUUACUUGUUGGGCAAAACUUUUCAUAAGCUUUUUUAAACAGAGCUUAUUUUUUUGCGAUAAUCCAAAUGUCUAUGGGAAAAAUGAACGGGCUUUUAAGCAGGGGAAUCAGUGUCCCGCUAACUUCCGGGAUACAGAAUAUAGUAUACAACAGUGGUGGCUGGUGACUUCUUUUUCGAGGGCGCGUGAUGCUAAUCUAGUCACAACAUGUAUGUAGCCUGUCAUGUGUGUGGCUUGUCGUGUCAAAAUAUGUGUUCGGCACGUCAUGUAAACUUAUGUGCAUCACGUGUUAUGUCAAAAUACAUGUCUGCUGCAGACGCUUCGAAGGGGUUUAUAAUAAAAGAGACGCUCGUGUUUGCCAGAUACUCACUUAAUCUCAUGUAUAAUCAGAGUUUAGUUUUAAAUUAGUGUCUUGCGAGUAUUUUGUGAAUGUGAGCGUCUCUUUUAUCAUAAAUCCUUUAGAUGUGUGUGCAGCAGGCACGUAUUUUGAAGUGACGCAUCAUGGUUCACAUGACACAUAUUUUGAAUUUGCGCCCUUUGGAAGAGAAGUCACCGGCCGCCACUUGUAUACAUCCCAAAAAAACUAUACAAUCCUCGAUUCGAUUACAUUUUCGAUUCUAAGGUCAGGGUUCGAUUCUCGGUUUUUACUUUUCUUUUUUAAAGCACAAAAAAUGCUAUGCCAUUUUUAGACUAGACUUUUAUGAAAUAUAAUUCUGACCUUGAACCCAGAGAUGCCCUGCCAUAUUAGUCGUGCUGCCAGUGGAAAAAUAUGGUACACGCACAUAUCUGAUAAAACGAAACUUCCUGUCAGAUGAACGUAUGUUAGUACUUUGCACCUUAAAAACGCGCUUUUAUUACCCCUUUAAUGAUUUAAAUAAAUAUAUACAGUGUUUAUAGCUCCAUGUACUGCUUUAGGUUUACUAAGACUCUUUUGCUGAUUUGAUUUGCUGGUUUGUAAGUCGCUUUGGAUAAAAGUGUCUGCUAAAUGAGUAAAUGUAAUGUAAUGUAAAUGUUUAGUGGAAGAAGUUAGUGACUGACAAUGACAUGAAGGGGAAGUGGGUAAUUUUUACACCUCCAAACAAUGACUAUUGAUCAGGCAAAUUUAUGCCACUGCUGGAGCCAUGUUUACGUUUGGGUGCCUUGACAGGGUGAGGUAGUAGGUUGUAUAGUUUCGUGGGAGGGAUCAAACCCUGUUCAGGUGAUAACUAUACAGUCUAUUGCCUUCCUUGUGGUACCAACUAUCGUCUGGCUAGAAAAAAGCAUCACUGAAACGAAAAUGUAUAAACCCUACUACUUCCUACAGUAUGUAUCUGAACCAGGCGUACAUGAUGUAAGUCUCUCUAUUGCAAGGUUGCUGCUAGUAUUUCAUGAGGAGAUUAAUCAGAUUUAUGGCUAAAUCAAUAUUUCUGAUUUUACACAUCAUAGAAAUGCAAAUAUUUGACUUACAGUAUGCAAGAUAUGGUUUGUAAAAAUAAAAUUAAAGAAGUC